AGAGUGAACGCUGGCGGUAGGCCUAACACAURCAAGUCGAACGGCAGCACWGAGGAGCUUGYUCYUUGGGUGGCGAGUGGCGGACGGGUGAGGAAUACAUCGGAAUCUACUUUUUCGUGGGGGAUAACGUAGGGAAACUUACGCUAAUACCGCAUACGACCUACGGGUGAAAGCAGGGGAYCUUCGGRCCUUGCGCGAUUGAAUGAGCCGAUGUCGGAUUAGCUAGUUGGCGGGGUAAAGGCCCACCAAGGCGACGAUCCGUAGCUGGUYUGAGAGGAUGAUCAGCCACACUGGAACUGAGACACGGUCCAGACUCCUACGGGAGGCAGCAGUGGGGAAUAUUGGACAAUGGGCGCAAGCCUGAUCCAGCCAUACCGCGUGGGUGAAGAAGGCCUUCGGGUUGUAAAGCCCUUUUGUUGGGAAAGAAAUCCAGCCGGCUAAUAC
rnacentral:rRNA from 1 species